rnacentral:rRNA from 1 species
AUGAACGCUGGCGGCGUGCUUAACACAUGCAAGUCGAGCGAGAAGUUUUGAAAAGAUUCUUCGGAUGAAAUUUAAAAUGGAAAGCGGCGGACGGGUGAGUAACGCGUAGGCAACCUGCCCCAUACAAAGGGAUAGCAUUUGGAAACGAAUAUUAAUACCUUAUGAAACUUAACUAGUGCAUGCUAGGUAGGUCAAAGAUUUAUCGGUAUGGGAUGGGCCUGCGUCUGAUUAGCUAGUUGGUGAGGUAACGGCUCACCAAGGCGACGAUCAGUAGCCGACCUGAGAGGGUGAACGGCCACAUUGGAACUGAGACACGGUCCAAACUCCUACGGGAGGCAGCAGUGGGGAAUAUUGCACAAUGGGGGAAACCCUGAUGCAGCAACGCCGCGUGAACGAUGAAGGCCUUUGGGUCGUAAAGUUCUGUUCUAGGUGAUGAAAACUGACAGUAACCUAGGAGAAAGCCCCGGCUAACUCCGUGCCAGCAGCCGCGGUAAUACGGAGGGGGCAAGCGUUAUCCGGAAUUAUUGGGCGUAAAGGGUACGUAGGUGGCCUUUUAAGCGUAGGGUAUAAGGCAAUGGCUCAACCAUUGUUCGCCCUAUGAACUGGAAGGCUUGAGUGCAGGAGAGGAAAGCGGAAUUCCUAGUGUAGCGGUGGAAUGCAUAGAUAUUAGGAGGAACAUCAGCGGCGAAGGCGGCUUUCUGGACUGCAACUGACACUGAGGUACGAAAGCGUGGGGAGCAAACAGG